rnacentral:rRNA from 1 species
AUUGAGACUUCGGUGGAUUUGAUCUAUUUCUAGUGGCGGACGGGUGAGUAACGCGUGGGUAACCUGCCUUAUACAGGGGGAUAACAGUCAGAAAUGGCUGCUAAUACCGCAUAAGCGCACAGAGCUGCAUGGCUCAGUGUGAAAAACUCCGGUGGUAUAAGAUGGACCCGCGUUGGAUUAGCUAGUUGGUGGGGUAACGGCCCACCAAGGCGACGAUCCAUAGCCGGCCUGAGAGGGUGAACGGCCACAUUGGGACUGAGACACGGCCCAGACUCCUACGGGAGGCAGCAGUGGGGAAUAUUGCACAAUGGGGGAAACCCUGAUGCAGCGACGCCGCGUGAAGGAAGAAGUAUCUCGGUAUGUAAACUUCUAUCAGCAGGGAAGAUAGUGACGGUACCUGACUAAGAAGCCCCGGCUAACUACGUGCCAGCAGCCGCGGUAAUACGUAGGGGGCAAGCGUUAUCCGGAUUUACUGGGUGUAAAGGGAGCGUAGACGGUGUGGCAAGUCUGAUGUGAAAGGCAUGGGCUCAACCUGUGGACUGCAUUGGAAACUGUCAUACUUGAGUGCCGGAGGGGUAAGCGGAAUUCCUAGUGUAGCGGUGAAAUGCGUAGAUAUUAGGAGGAACAC